AGAACCUGUGUGCAAGAGCUAGGUGAAGGACCUCUAGCACUAGGGAGCUCUGUCCACUUCUCUGAGGAAGUGAGGCCACGUGUGGGGUACCGCAACCAAUUCAUCAUUGCCUUCUCCAGCUGCUGGAGACAGGGCACCGGAGGGUGCACUCCAGGUUCAGGUGGCAGUGUUGAAGCCGAAAGCUUCUAAAGAAGUGGUUUCAGAAAAAUUAAGAGUUGAAUGUAUAUGAGUAAGCAAACGUAGGAAUCCAAAAAACCACAGCCUGGGACAGAUCAAGCCUAGUACCUUUCCAGCACUUAAGAAGAGUUCAUGCCCAAUCGAUUCACUAUUCAUCUUGAUUCCAUCAUGAAGGAAUGAAAUGCAGAUAACUCGUUAGCAAACUUUUGUGGGAAAAAAGUGCCUUGUGCGAUCAGAACAAAGCCGUUUUAUAAUCAGAUUUACCAAGCUGAGAAGAGGGAGUUUCAGCAAAUGGAAGCUUCAGCUUUCUGUCACCAGGAAACACUGCGUUAUCCAGAAUCGGAAUUGUUAAAGCAUACUGACUACAACUGGAGACAAAAAUGGAACCUAAGAAAAUAAAAUCACUUGGGAAGGAUGUGAAUUCAUAUAUCUUUUCUCUUAAAGUUGUUUUGAAAAGUAAGUACUUGCCAUUCCUAAUUGUUUUUGUUUUGCUUUUUUUUUUUGUAAUCUGAUACUGAAAGCGUUGAUUUGUGCAUAAAGUAUAUAUAGUUACUGCCAUCUGGGAGUUUGCAUUUUAAGUGACAUGGCAUGGGUAAGAACAGACAUAAAACAUAUACACACCAUUAUAUAGACAACUAGACUAGAUCUAGCCUGACAACAAAUGGAGCUUGAUAUUCAUAGAUCUUACCUGAGUGGAUGUUAUUUCAUGAUAUCUGAACCCUUGUCCAAACUCUAUAUCAUCUGGCCUGACUAGCUAGUGAUGUAUUCCUGUUAACCUUUAUAUUCUUGUUUAGCAAGAGUCCCAUCUGCAUAAAAGAGUUACUUCUUUUGUCAUUUUGGUUUGGUUCAGCUGGGAGGGAUAGCAUCAUUGCUUCAGGCUGAAAUGGACUAAUCUGUUUCACUUGUGGGUAAGGAGAAACGAAUACUUUGAGAACAGUGUGGCGUGGGGGAGAAAGGACACAAUUGCUGCCUUUCAUCCUUCCCUGCCCUGGCUCAGGAUCCCAGUGUGGAAAUGGGGAUGCUUAGGACUUAAUGAGCACAUUUAUUUCCUUGGAUGAGUUGCAUAGGGAACCAAAAGGAAGAUGAAGAAAUGGACAUGUAGGAAGUAGGGAAGUCCUAGGGGAGUGAAGAACCCGUUGCUUUCAAGCCCAGGUGUCAGCCCUUUAUUCUCCCUGGUGGCUGGGACAUGCUGCCCCACCCCUGCUUCCAUCCUAUGAAUCAAGUGACUGCUUAGAACUGAGCACCACUUUGCUGAGUAACUGAGGAGAGUGAGGAAUUCAAGAAUGGCCUUUUAAGGCACCAUUUUGUAUGAAUCAUCCUGCGUACAUCUCUCUACUGAAUCUACUUCUAGAAAUAGAGAGCUACCUUCUUGUCUUGAAGACAACAGCACACAUUGUCUGUAAGCAUUGUGUUGUGCUCACUCCUUCCUCCGAGGCCUAAUCUCCUGUCCUUGGUCCUUCUUGUAUGUUCCCUGAAAUUUCCCUCUCCUGCCAUGUAAAUCCAGACAACUUUCUGCCUGCAUUCUAUUUCUGCCUUUGAAUUGAGUCUCUUCGAAACAAUUGUGUGGUGGCUGGGCACUGCAAAAUGAGUCAGUUCCUACAGUUUGGUUACAAGUUCUCAAAAAGUAUUUCAGAAUGUGGAUGUGGUCAGCAGAGUCAUUUUCCAGGCAUCUAAAAGGAAACCCACAUCAACUGUAACAAUUGAGCUCUGACCGGAUGGUGCCAUACAACAGAACCAAGGCCUAUUUUCUCUUAGAGCAAUGCCUAGAGCCAUACACGAAUUUAUCUGCUCCUAGCACAUCUUCAAUGGAAAGUCUUGUUCUUGUUUGCAGGUCACAUUUUAUUUGCCACCAUUUGAAAAACAAUGUGACACAGGUUUUAACCUUAUUUACUUUUGGAUGUUGGUCUGAAUUUGAAAAAUUAUUAAUUAUUUUUAUAAACUAGAAUCAGUGAGACUAGAGUAUGAUUAGUAGAUGACUUGAAGUAUGACUUAUGGAUGAAAAGUGGGUAAUUUUUCUGAGGAAUAACCAAGGGGCACUUUUAGAUAUCAUGUAGUACAUAGGAUUACCUCAUUUCCUAAUUAUGUUCUGGAUCUUUCAGCGUUGGUCAUAUAAAUAAUUAAAUUCUUUUCAAGCUUUGAAGAUGUUUCAAGCUCAUCAACAACAGAAUAUUUUAGCUUAGCAUGGGCUUUAGAAAAAUCUUUUGUGGCUAUUUACUUACUUGUGUACCAUAAGUUCUGUAAAAUCUGAUUGAGCUGGUCUUCAACCAUUCAUGAAAGCUGAUGACAUUUUCAAUAAUAAAAAAAAAAGCAAGAUUAAAACAUGAGCAAAGGGUCUCCACAGAUCCUUCACAGAAGAAGAUACCCAUAUUGGAGAUAAGUGCAUGAAGGUGUUCUACAUCAUUAUUCAUUGGGGAAAUAUAAGUAAUAACUACAUACUGUUUGAAUGGCUGAAAUGUAAAAAGACUGACCAGCAAGUAGAAGUUGAAGAUGCAGAGAUUUGGGGCUCUCGGUGACAUUUAGGAAGAAAUGUGAAAUGGUAGAAACAAUUUAGAAGACAAUUUAGCAAUUUCAUAAAAUGUCAGACACAUACUUACCAUGUGACCCAGAUGUCCUAUUUAGAGAGACAAGAAAGCAAUGUUGUAUGUGAAUGCCCAUAGCAAUUUUAUUAGUUAUAGUCAAAAACUAGAAAAGCACAAAUGUCCAACUGCAAGUUAAUGGGUGAACAAAUCAACAGUGUACCUCAAUGGAUACUGCUCAGUAAUGUAAUAUGUUACUACUUUAAAUAAAAGGAAGAGCCCUUA